GGGGAGGUGGUGGUUGCGGCAGUGUCUCGGCUGCCGCCGCUGCAGCCACUGAUGCCGCCUCCUGUGUCAGCUCAGUGAGGACUGGGGCCGACCGAGACCGAGUCGAGCUCCCCACAUGCUACUGAUUAACAUACACCAUUACAUCAUGGCUUUGGCAGCAAGAGCCAAAGUGGGGGGAGAGCAACCCCGCGGGGAGGGAAAAGUAGGAGGUGGUGCGGGGCUGGGGGAGUCCUAACUGGAGGAGGGGGCUGGAGGAGGAGGAUCCCUAAAUGUGACUAGGGGAGGAGCUCGAUGGGAAAGAGGGGUCAGGUUGGAGGAACUGAAGAGCAAAGGGAAAGAAGUUUGAAGGAGUAGAAGGGGAAGGGGGUGGGGCUGGGCAAAUUCCUCUCCCUGGCCUCCUCCGAAAUUCUGGAUGGGCUGGGUUACAGGGGCCUCGUAGCCAAGGAGAAAGGCUAGAGAAGCAAAGACAGAGAAUGUGUGUGUGUUUGUGUGUGUGUGUGUGUGUGUGUGUGUGUGUGUGUGUCCGCGCGCGCGCGCGCGCGUGUGAGAGAAAGAGAGAGAGAGAGAGAGAAUCCAAAGUCUCACUUCUGCCACCCUCGAUAUACCACACCGCAACAGGAUUUCAUUCUCCAAGCUAUUUGGGGGAAAGAGACGGAUCCAAAGAAGAUAUAGGACGGGCAGCUUGAAGUGCAACAGAGAUCACAGUGGAGAAAAGUUCUUGUUUUGUUUGGAUUUUUUCUGACAAGGAUUUUGCACUGAAAAUGAAGUGGGGGAAGGUAUGGAAAACAGAGAAUUGGUACCCAACUAAGAAUGCUUACCAUUUACAAAUUCAGGUCACCUGAUCCAAAUGAACUAUUGUACACUAAACAUUUGUAGUGAUAUGAGAACGAUCACGGAAAAUGAGAAAGGGGGAAAUGUAUGACUAGACUGGCAAAUAGCAAGAGCUUGACUUUGAUUCCUGUGAAAAUUCUAGAAUUAAAGGAUCAUUAAAGAGAUAAUGACUAUUUCCCAAAGAAAAUGGUGAUUACAAAAUAAAACACAGCAGAGUUUCUUUUAAAAGCA
rnacentral:lncRNA from 1 species